GACGUAGGAUGCAAGCAUUGUCCGGAUUUAUUGGGCGUAAAGAGUUCGUAGGUGGUUUGUUAAGUCUGAUGUUAAAGACCGGAGCUCAACUUCGGAACUGCAUUGGAUACUGGCAGACUAGAGUAUGUUAGAGGCAAGCGGAAUUCCCAGUGUAGCGGUGAAAUGCGUAGAUAUUGGGAAGAACACCGGUGGCGUAAGCGGCUUGCUGGGACAUAACUGACACUGAGGAACGAAAGCCAGGGGAGCGAAU
rnacentral:rRNA from 1 species